CCUACGGAGGGCAGCAGUGGGGAAUAUUGGACAAUGGGCGAAAGCCUGAUCCAGCCAUGCCGCGUGUGUGAAGAAGGCCUUCGGGUUGUAAAGCACUUUCAGUGGGGAAGAAAGCCUUGGGGCUAAUACCCUCGAGGAAGGACAUCACCCACAGAGGAAGCACCGGCUAACUCCGUGCCAGCAGCCGCGGUAAUACGGAGGGUGCGAGCGUUAAUCGGAAUUACUGGGCGUAAAGCGCGCGUAGGCGGUCUGAUAAGCCGGUUGUGAAAGCCCCGGGCUCAACCUGGGAACGGCAUCCGGAACUGUCAGGCUAGAGUGCAGGAGAGGAAGGUAGAAUUCCCGGUGUAGCGGUGAAAUGCGUAGAGAUCGGGAGGAAUACCAGUGGCGAAGGCGGCCUUCUGGACUGACACUGACGCUGAGGUGCGAAAGCGUGGGUAGCAAACAGGAUUAGAUACCCCUGUAGUC
rnacentral:rRNA from 1 species